GAACGCGAAGAACCUUACCAGGUCUUGACAUCCCUCUGACCGCUCUAGAGAUAGAGUUUUCCUUCGGGACAGAGGUGACAGGUGGUGCAUGGUUGUCGUCAGCUCGUGUCGUGAGAUGUUGGGUUAAGUCCCGCAACGAGCGCAACCCCUAUUGUUAGUUGCCAUCAUUUAGUUGGGCACUCUAGCGAGACUGCCGGUAAUAAACCGGAGGAAGGUGGGGAUGACGUCAAAUCAUCAUGCCCCUUAUGACCUGGGCUACACACGUGCUACAAUGGCUGGUACAACGAGUCGCAAGUCGGUGACGGCAAGCUAAUCUCUUAAAGCCAGUCUCAGUUCGGAUUGUAGGCUGCAACUCGCCUACAUGAAGUCGGAAUCGCUAGUAAUCGCGGAUCAGCACGCCGCGGUGAAUACGUUCCCGGGUCUUGUACACACC
rnacentral:rRNA from 1 species